GAAUCACCAGGUAGUUGAAUAAAUCUCAUAGGAGUUUGCAAGAAGAAGUUAUUCCACUUUCAAAUCAGGUGAUUGCAGUUUCCCAGUUUGGGAAUAGCACAGCUUCUUCGUCGUUCCAAUCAAACCAGGAUGAAUCACUUUGUAAGAAGCUUGAUUUGGAUAGAUAAAGUGGUGGAGAAUCACCAGGAAGUUGAAUAAAUCUCAUAGGAGUUGGGAUGAAGAAGUUAUCCAACUUUCAAAUCAGGUGAUUCCAGUUUCCCAGUUUGGGAAUAGCACAGCUUCUUCGUCGUUCCAAUCAAACCAGGA